rnacentral:rRNA from 1 species
GACGAACCGUCCAAACGUUAUUCGGAAUUACUGGGCUUAAAGGGUGCGUAGGCGGCGCGGAAAGUUGGGUGUGAAAUCCCUCGGCUCAACCGAGGAACUGCGCCCAAUACUACCGUGCUUGAGGGAGAUAGAGGUGAGUGGAACUUAGGGUGGAGCGGUGAAAUGCGUUGAUAUCAUCAGGAAUACCGGAGGCGAAGGCGGCUCACUGGGACUUUUCUGACGCUGAGGAACGAAAGCUAGGGGAGCAAACGGG